GGGGGCGUCAUGGUUUCGACUGAAUAUUGAAAACAUGGGCCGCAUGUAGAGGUUGAUCGGUUGGCCUCUUAAAAAAGCCGUUCAAAACAAAUAAUUGCAGACUCUAACGAGCUCGCACUUGCUGCUUAAUUGACAGUAACGUCUAUCUCUCUGACGUCCACUAGGGGGGAAGGCGACACAAUAGUGGACUGGCCGGAGGCCGGGUGACCGGGUCAAAGGCGAGAUUUAAACAGGUUAAUCGGAGAACGCCAGCCGUUGGUGAGCGACCGUCCUCUUAAAACCCUAUCACCAACUAAACAUGUAGAAGCUCACGUAGCAGGUAUCUAGGACAGGGGUUCGACUCCCCUCGCCUCCACCA
rnacentral:tmRNA from 1 species